rnacentral:rRNA from 1 species
UACGUAGGGUGCGAGCGUUGUCCGGAAUUAUUGGGCGUAAAGAGCUCGUAGGCGGUCUGUCGCGUCGGUCGUGAAAACUUGGGGCUUAACCCUGAGCUUGCGGUCGAUACGGGCAUGACUGGAGUUCGGCAGGGGAGACUGGAAUUCCUGGUGUAGCGGUGAAAUGCGCAGAUAUCAGGAGGAACACCGGUGGCGAAGGCGGGUCUCUGGGCCGGUAUUGACGCUGAGGCGCGAAAGCCAGGGGAGCAAACGGG